AUGCAGUCGAACGAGCGAGAGAGAGCUUGCUUUCUCGAGCGAGUGGCGAACGGGUGAGUAACGCGUGAGGAACCUGCCUCAAAGAGGGGGACAACAGUUGGAAACGACUGCUAAUACCGCAUAAGCCCACGGGUCGGCAUCGACCAGAGGGAAAAGGAGCAAUCCGCUUUGAGAUGGCCUCGCGUCCGAUUAGCUAGUUGGUGAGGUAACGGCCCACCAAGGCAACGAUCGGUAGCCGGACUGAGAGGUUGAACGGCCACAUUGGGACUGAGACACGGCCCAGACUCCUACGGGAGGCAGCAGUGGGGAAUAUUGCACAAUGGGGGAAACCCUGAUGCAGCGACGCCGCGUGGAGGAAGAAGGUCUUCGGAUUGUAAACUCCUGUUGUUGGGGAAGAUAAUGACGGUACCCAACAAGGAAGUGACGGCUAACUACGUGCCAGCAGCCGCGGUAAAACGUAGGUCACAAGCGUUGUCCGAAAUUACUGGGUGUAAAGGGAGCGCAGGCGGGAAGACAAGUUGGAAGUGAAAUCUAUGGGCUCAACCCAUAAACUGCUUUCAAAACUGUUUUUCUUGAGUAGUGCAGAGGUAGGCGGAAUUCCCGGUGUAGCGGUGGAAUGCGUAGAUAUCGGGAGGAACACCAGUGGCGAAGGCGGCCUACUGGGCACCAACUGACGCUGAGGCUCGAAAGUGUGGGUAGCAAACA
rnacentral:rRNA from 1 species